CCAAAAUAGGCCGUCGAAUUCAUUCUGACGAGGACAUUCGAGCACUCCAGGAAGAUUUGAAUAGACUGAUGCAGUGGUCGGAGAAGUGGCAGAUGCAGUUUAAUAUAGACAAAUGCAAAGUUCUAAAUGUUGGACAGGACAAUAACCAUGCCACAUAUAAACUAAAUAAUGUAGAUCUUAAUAUACGGAUUGCGAAAAAGAUUUAGGAGUUCUGGUUAGCAGUAAUCUGAAACCAAGACAACAGUGCAUAAGUGUUCGCAAUAAAGCUAAUAGAAUCCUUGGCUUCAUAUCAAGAAGCAUAAAUAAUAGGAGUCCUCAGGUUGUUCUUCAACUCUAUACAUCCUUGGUUAGGCCUCAUUUAGAUUAUGCUGCACAGUUUUGGUCACCGUAUUACAGAAUGGAUAUAAAUUCUCUGGAAAAUGUACAAAGGAGGAUGACAAAGAUGAUCCCAUGUAUCAGAAACCUUCCCUAUGAGGAUAGACUAAGGGCCCUGAAACUGCACUCUCUAGAAAGACGUAGAAUUAGGGGGAUAUGAUUGAGGUUUAUAAGUGGAAGACAGGAAUAAAUAAAGGGGAUGUAAAUAGUGUGCUGAAAAUAUCUAGCCUAGACAGGACUCGCAGCAAUGGUUUUAAGUUGGAAAAAUUCAGAUUCAGGAGGGAUAUAGGAAAGUACUGGUUUGGUAAUAGAGUUGUGGAUGAGUGGAACAAACUCCCAAGUACAGUUAUAGAGGCCAGAACGUUGUGUAGCUUUAAAAAUAGGUUGGAUAAAUACAUGAGUAGAUGUGGGUGGGUGUGAGUUGGACCUGAUAGCUUGUGCUAACAGGUCGGUUGCCGUGUUCCUCCCUUAAGUCAAUGUGACCUGACCUGACUAGGUUGGGUGCAUUGGCUUAAGCCGGUAGGGACUUGGACCUGCCUCGCAUGGGCCAGUAGGCCUUCUGCAGUGUUCCUUCGUUCUUAUGUUCUUAUGUUCUUAAUUGUGAUUUUCUUGCCAUUCAUUGUUUUUCAUAAUAUUUUAUUUGAUGACCUCUCGUGAUGCCGAUAGGCUUCAAACCAACCCAUCAAAUGAAGCGACGAACAUUUUCAGUGCAGCCAUAAGGUAUAUAUACAUCUAGAAGUAUAUGUCUUUCAGCGUAUAUAUGCUGAGAGUUUACUUUAAUCCCUAUUUAAGGGAUUAAAGUAUUCUUGUCUGAUAGUGAAAAGGUUACAUGCAGCUUGAAUAACCCUCGUGUAGUUAAUAGGCUUUAAACUCCAUUAGCCAACCAGUUCAGCCAGAGUCAGGCAGUGUGUGUGUGGCUGUCCAGUGACUGAGUGUGCUAGUGUCACCCUGUGUACGAGGUGUGUUACUCAUGGUAUUGAAGAAUACUCGAAGGUGAGAGGACGAGUGGUUGAAGCAUCAAGUCAGGUCGUCAACAAAGGAUGCGACCCACACCAGUCGACUAAUACCCAGGUACUUAUUUGCCGCUACGUGAGCAGGGACAUCAGGAAACACGCCCUAAUGCUUCCACCAGUACCUGGAAUCGAACCAUGGACAUUGUGUGUGAGCGACGGUGAAUCAAGUUGGUGCACUUGUAUAUAUAUCUUCGUGAGAUAUUUCUUAAGUUUUUGUGAGAAUAUUAGUACGGACUGAGGACCAGGGAAUGUGUAGCAAUGAUCUACAUAUUCUUAUAUAAUGGUCUAGGACCGGGGCAAAAUAAAUAUUAAAUAUGGUUUUAAAUUUCUAUAUUUAGGAAGAUUAAAGA